rnacentral:rRNA from 1 species
UACAGAGGGUGCAAGCGUUAUUCGGAAUCACUGGGCGUAAAGCGUAUGUAGGUGGGUAAGUAUGUCAGUUGUGAAAUCCCGGAGCUUAACUCCGGAAUGGCAAUUGAAACUGCUUAUCUUGAGAUUGGGAGAGGAUGGUAGAAUUCCUGGUGUAGAGGUGAAAUUCGUAGAUAUCAGGAGGAAUACCGGAGGCGAAGGCGGCCAUCUGGCCCAAGACUGACGCUGAGAUACGAGAGCGUGGGUAG